UAAAGAGUUAACAGAUGGGCUGUAAUCAGAAGGAUUUGUGGAGGGCUUCCUGCGUUGAAGAUUAGUAGCAGGCACGUCUGCUCUGGUCAGAUUCAAAAUACUCCUUAAAGUUACCGGCUGGAUGUGAAUCCUGGUUCUCUGCAAGCUUCAUGUUCCAUAGGUUGAAGAAGGGCUCGUUAAGUGUUGAAGUAAGGUGUCCUUUCCAUACUUUGGGAUUCAGUGAUGCAGUUGGUCCAGAAAUGCAUCGACAGCUCUGGGGGAAAGAGCAGGUGACAUGGAUGACUAAAAUGGAACAAGCAAUCCCGUGGGGGCUAAAAUCCCAGCAGGCCUCCUCUUGUGUGGGCUGUUUUUACUACAUCUGGCUCUAAGGGACUUCUUGCUUGCUUGGAACUUGCCCAAACCAAGAGCUGCCCAGAGUUAUUUGGGAGAGGCACAGAUGGAAGAAGAGGAGUUUCUGUCUGACCUCACUUCCGCAACUCCCAGGUGUUCACACCGGGAUUUCCUGGAAAUGAUUCCAGAGCCCAUCCAACCUUGCAAAUAGGUUGAAAUGCUCUCCUCUCCAGCUACCAACAAGCCUCUUCACUGGCAUGGGCUAAUAUGGUCACUGAACCUCUGGAGACCUCUCAAAAAGAAGACUGCCCUAUUAUGAAGAUAUUUCAGGGAGCAAAUGUGAAAAUAAACACACUCAUGCAACCAA